rnacentral:lncRNA from 1 species
UGCUAAGGUUUUCGGAAAACCUAUUACAUAUUAUACUAUUGAGUUUUCAUAAACUUUGGGGGUUAGUACUUUGAUGAAACAUUCGAAGUUCGUGUUAGAGAAAGUGAGGAAGCACCAGUUGAAGGCAUAGUUUAACAAGUGUUGGUUGGUGGGAUCGAAUCAUGUUUUCGGACUUGUUGUUUCCAUUGAGGGAAUUUGUGUGGACCCUCAAAAGAUUUCUCAGUGAUUGUCUUACCAAUAACCUUCUUACUUACUCCAACAACGAGGUCAAGUUCACUAAACAUCGACAGUCAACUUUACACCAAAUUCUUCGAACAUUGAUUUUGUUUAGAUUAGAUACUUUUCUUGGGAGACUCUUUGUAGUAGACGCUAUUCUCAUCAAUUUUCAAAAGAGUUGCGAUCGUUGGAAAAUGAAAAUCCUCACAGGGUGUUAUGAGAUACGAAAUAUCAUUGGUCUUGUCACUUUCUAUCGGAAAUUCUUAAUGAUUCUUUGAGCAGAGCCUUAUUCCUUUAUGGCUAAGGAACUAGUCAAUUUUAUUUGAAAUGUUGAAGGUGAACGAAGUUUCUAACAAUUGAAGUAUUGUCUCACUUGAUCAUUAUUUUUACACUUUUCGAUGACAUCGGCAAUUUCGAAUUCUACGGUGAUGUGUUGUUGAAUGUUUGGCUGCACGCUGGUGCAGCAUGAUCGAGUAACGCGUGUGUCUCUUGACAGUUGGAACCGUAUGUAGUGAACCAUCCUAUCUUCGACCUUGAGCCAACGGAUACAAUCUUACUUGAAGAUCUAUUGACACCCUUUCUUUGUAAUCUUAAUUAGUAGUAUGCUCCAAACAUGUUCAUG